GAUGAACGCUGGCGGCGUGCUUAAUACAUGCAAGUCGAGCGAACAGACGAGGAGUUUGCGCUACUGACGUUAGCGACGGACGGGUGAGUAACACGUGGACUACCUACCUCUUAGACUUGGAUAACUUCGAGAAACCGUAACUAAUGACGGAUAAUAUAUUUAACCGCAUGGUUCAAAAGUUAUUGAGGUUUUUGCUGAGACUGAUAGAUGGAUGCGCGUCGGAUUAGUGAUUUGGUAGGGUAACGGCUUAGCAAGGCAACGAUGCGUAGCCGACCUGGCAGGGUGAAGGGCCACAGAGGAAGUGGAACACGGUCCAGGGUCCUACGGGCGGCAGCGGUAGCGAAUCGUCCGCACUGGGCGAAAGCCUGACGGAGGAACGCCGCGUGGGUGAUGAAGGUCUUCGGGUCGUAUAACUCUGUUAUUGGUGAAGAACAAAUGUGUAAGUAACUAUGCACGUCUUGACGGUACCUAAACAAGAAGCAACGGCUAACUACGUG
rnacentral:rRNA from 1 species